GACGGACAGCUGCAAGGGUCCCGCCCCGUGCCUGACGUCGGGGGCGAGCCGGGCCUGCGCGGUAGUGGGACCCGACCCUGUCUCCAGUGGGCGUCUUGGGCCCCGGCUCUAUUCUGGGCUGCGGGCCUGGGAAGGGCUCGCCGGGUGCCAAAUGAGCUGUCCUAACUCUGCGGGGCUGCAGCUUCCUGCAUGAUGCUGGGGAGCUUGGCGCCUGACCCAGGAUCUAGAAGGCACUCUGGGCAGGCCGCGCUCCGCCCACGAAGGUUUAACCACCAAGGACUCUGAGAGCUGGCAGGUCUGAGUAACCCUGGUAACAAUUCUCUUCACCUUAUCAAAACCUGAGCUAAAACCAAUGCAUCAGCUGAUGAUGACAGCAGAGAGUGGCAGGGCUGAGGACCCAAAGUCAUUUCCCAGGCUGGCGGAGAAUAAACUGCCAGGGAGAAGAAUGAGAAGACAGGAGACAAACUGUUUGGAAAGCUAAAUCUUCCCUCUUAAUGAAUAAAGGUUUUUGCCUUGUCUUAAAGUUUCUGAGUCCUAAUUUUGGCAAA
rnacentral:lncRNA from 1 species